UGCAACUUUAACAUCCCUUUAUUACAAAACUUAUUGCAAUGAUUUCUCUGUAGAGAUAUCCACUCUGUGGAGAAGUCCACUAUGUUCACUAGAAUAUUAACUCAUUAAAGAAAGGGACUAUGCCUUUUCAGUUUGGGGUUUCCACUUUUGGACAGUAUCUGAUAUACAACAAGGUACCAAUGAAUGUUUGCUACAUAAGUAAAGUUCCAUUGGAACAAAUAACCUGCAGCUUUAAAUAGGGGAGCUGUGUAAUUUUAAAUCUAAGAUCUGCUUACUACUAAAUCAUCAGCUAAGGGAGAUUCUACUAAAUCACCAGCUAAGGGUGUUAUGACAAGAAUUGUCAGAGCAUGAAAGGAAAAAGAAGGCAGCAGUUGAAAUGCUAAUAAAUCAUUAGGUUCCUAUAACUCUUUACAGAGACAUAAACCCGCUGUAAUCACUUAUCAACUAGCCUUUGAAAUUGGUGGGUGGCACAAAUUAUUUCCACUAUAUUUUUAUAUUAAGACUUCAGUCUUAGCAAGAUAUUUCAAAGAAAUUAUAGAUUAUCUGUCCAAAACUUAAUGGAGAAGAACAUUUUUGUAGUUCUUGGUUGAUAUUUUGACAUCUAAGAUUAUUAUUUUUGGUUGUCUAAAAGCAGAGAGUAAUCAAAUCUUUUGACAGGUAUUACUUUUAUAGCAGUGACCAUCUUGGCAAAGAGAGAGGUUACAUGUACUGAAAUAUGAUUACACAGUUGUUUUGGAGUCGUGUCUGGAGUUGUUCUGUUUUUCUUUAAAUAACAACAAUGAAGAAUAUAUAUAUUCUUAUGAAUAUAAUUUCAUCAAAUACUUGCUUCAAAUGUCUGUAAGAAACUACCACAGAGCAGUUUUAUAAAAAGAGCCCUGGAGAGAAAUUUUAAGUUUCAAUUAAUUUAAACCUGGAUUCUGUCUCUGGAUCAUCCAGCUGCCAACUUGAAACCUUAGUCAAGUCAUAAUACUUUCAGCUAAAGGAAGACAAUAAAGCUACUUUAUAAGGUUGUUAUGAAGGCUAAAUAAUAUGUCAUUAAUAAUAAUAAUAUUAAUAAUAAAAAUAGAGUGAAUUGUAUGUAUUGGGGACUUACCAUAUGCUAGACACUCCAAAUUUUGUAUUUAAUUCUCACACAACCAAAUGAGGCAGGCCUUAUUAUUACCCUUUUUGAAAGAUGAGAAAACGGGAGUUUAUAGAAAUUAAGUGUAUUGCUCAAGGUCACACACAGUAAAGUAGUAGAGCAAGAAUUCAAAUGCAGGUCUCUCAUACCAAAAUACAAUUGUAAUUGUAAUUGCAUUUCUUCCCAAAUAUAUGUAAAGUGCCUAACAGAAUGUCUGACAUACAUUAAAUCAUCACGAUGUGCUAGUUCCUUUUGUUUCUUACUCUACAUCCUCUAGGACAUCUCAAACAUGCUAUCAAAUUUAACAACCACCUAAAAUGUAUUAUGCCAUCAAAUCUACUUUUCUAACUCAAACCACCCUUCUCCAGUCUCAAGAACUAUACAUCCAGCUUCCUUAAGUGUCCAACAGGCAUGCCAAAUUCAAAAUGGCCCCAUGCAAACUUAGUACUUUUCUCUUAAAUGUGCUCCAUUUAUGAUCCCCAAACAGUGAAUAUUACCAUUUAUUCAGAUGCCUAAAAUAGAAAUAUGAGAGUCAGGGCUUUUAAAAAAUAGUUUGUAAUCUGAUUUACGUCUUCAAUGCUUAUUGACAUGUUGUUUGUAUUUCCUAGGAUGACUGAUCAAAUCUUUCUAAUCAUGAAAAAUUCAGCUUACAUAUUAUCUCCCGUUUGGAGCUUUGUAAUAUAAAUUAAAUAGUAUCACCUCUGUUCAGCUGCCAUACCUUGUAUAUAACUCUAUUUUUAUGUUAUCAUACUAUAUUUUAGAGAUAAAUUUUCAUAUUUCUCUCUUCUACACUAACACAGUACAUCUGAACUUUUGGGAUGAUAGAAAUGUUCUAUAUAUGUGCUGUCUACUAUGGUAGUCAAUAGCUACAUAUGGCUAUAUAUAUUGAGCAUUUGAAAUGUGGCUAGUGGUAUUAAUGUAAUACCUGUCUGUCAACAGAGGAAUUAACGUCUUAAUUUUAUUUAUUUUUACUUAAUGUAAAAAUAAUUUUAAAAUAGCUACAUGUGGCUAGCAACUACUGUAAUGCACAGUGUAGCACUUGACUCUGAGCUCAGUGAGGGCAAAUACCAUUUCUUACUCACUUUUAUCCAAUGCCUAGAACAUAGCAGAGCCUCAAAAAAUAUAUGGAGAAUGAGUGAAUGAAUGAAUAAAUAUUUUACAGUGGUAGAAUAGAGAAAAAUCUACUUAUCAUAAGCACCAGGGAACUAUUACAUAGAGGUACUGUGAAAACUAAUAAACACUGAUUUCUUGGUGAAUAAAAACUUAAUGCAAAUAGGUUUCCAGAAUGAAAUGGAGAAGUAAUUUCUAUUGGGUCAACCCACUCUCAGGUAACAAAAAUAAGCUCCAUACAAAAUAUAAAAUAGAAUUAGAUUAAUCUAAAGGCACUCUAGAAGACCUGAAAGAAAUUGGAAGUAAACUUACACUUGAAAGAAGGAAAUGGCCAGGUAGUUUUCCUGUUUUUAUACAACAUUUUGCUGGAGGGUAGGCCCUAGUUGCAGCUUUCUUGGUGGGUGAAAUUCUGGUAGAAAUCCAGUCUUAUUGGCUUGGAGAACCACAGGACAGAUUUUGGAGGCCAUGGCAGCUGGAGAGUGAGGGGGAAACCCACAAAAGGUAAAAGCCAUGGGUGGGGCGGGGCAAGGGGGAUUCUAUAUAUGAACCUGGAUAAAAUCUCUGGCUGAUCCCUGUAUUACAUAUGCACAGGGAUAACUCCAAAUCGGCCUUAUGAGUCUAAAAUAACUGAAUUGAGUUUUCAGCUGCUCCACUCCACAAAAAACAGGAUUGGAGUUUGAAUUAAAGUUAAAUUAAUUGCCUGCUCAAAAACAAAAACAAAGAAAACAAAUUCCUCAAAGAGACAUAAUAGAUUGCAGUGUCCCUACAACACGUCAUUCAUGAUAUUCAUGUGAUCCAAAAUUACUAGAUCUAUGAAGAAACAGAGAAAUGUGAUCUCAAGACAAAAGGCAAAUAAGUGAAGACUGACUCUGAGAUGACCCAGAGGUUGGAAUUGGCACAUAGGGAUUUUAAAACAGCUAUUAUAACCAUUCCAAGAAUUUAGAGAAAAACAUGCUCACAAUGAAUGAAAGGAGAGAAAAUUUUAGCAGAGGAAUCAAAACUACAAAAGAGAAAUGAAAAUCCAAAAAUUUUUUUUAAAACCUGUAUUUAAAAUUUGCAAGAUAACUUUAACAGUAGAUUAAAAUGAGAAAGUUAAUAAAUUUGAAGACAGAGCAAUAGAAAGUACCUAACCUAAAAAAAAAAAAAACAAGAGAAAAAAUUAGAAAAAAGUAGAGUCUCAGUGAUCUAUGGAAACAAUGUGGAAAGGUCUAACAUAUGUGUAAUUGUAGUCUCAAAAGAAGAGGAGAGAGAGCAAAAAUAUUUGAGAAAAUAAUUGGAAAAAAUUUCCCAAGUUUGGUGAAAGGCAUACAUUUACAGAUAUAACUACAACAAACCCAGUGAAGCCCAAGCAGGAAAAAUACAAAGAAAACCACAUGUAAGCACGUUAGAAUCAGACUUCUCAAACAAUGGUUAAAGAGAAUCUCUUGAAAACAACCACAGAUUAACCACAGAUUAACAUAUUUCAUAAUGUGGAAUGAUAUGAAAUAACAAUAAUUUCUUGUUAGAAACAACAGACACAAGGAGACAGUGGAAUGACAUUUCUAAAAUGGUGAAAGGAGGAAAAAAGUCAACUAAAUGCAAAAAAAAAUCAUUUGAGAAUGAAGGCAAAAUAAAGAUAUUUUCAGAUAAAUGAAAACUAAUAUAAUUUUUAUUAGCAGACCUACAGUACAAGAAACACAAGGGAAGUUCUUUUUUUUUUGAAACAGAGUCUUGCUCUAUUGCCAGGCUGGAGUGCAGUGGCACAAUCUCAGCUCAUUGCAACCUCCACCCUCUGGGUUCAAGCGAUUCUCCCGCCUCAGCCUCCCAAAUAGCUGGGACCACAGGUGCGUGCUACCACGUCCAGCUAACAUUUGUAUUUUUAGUACAGAUGGGGUUUCACCAUGUUGGCUAGGAUGGUCUCAGAUCUCUUGACCUUGUGACCCGCCCACCUUGGCCUCACAAAGUGCUGGGAUUACAGGCGUAGGCCACAGCGCCUGGCUAGAAACACAAAGGAAGUUCUUUAGGCAAAAGGAAUUAAUGCCAGGUGGACACUCAGCCUUUAGAAAACAAUGCAGUGCCCCAAAUGAUAUAUAUGUGGCUAAAUAUUAAGAUUGUCCCUUUCUCCUAAUUUGUUAUAAAUAAACAUGACUAAAGAAAAAUCUAUAUUUCUUCAAACCCCACAUUGUACUGUGGGAUUGAUAACAUUUUUAGAUGAAGUACAUAUGACAACUAAAACAGAAGAAGUAAAUGAAUCUCUAUUUUCAGGAAGAUAUUAUAAGAGGAGGAACGUAUGAAACAGAAAACAGACAAAUGAUAGACAAAAUUAGGUAUAAAACAUUUUGGGUUUUUCUAGGGGAAAUGACAUUAAAGUUUAUAAACUAUACAUAGACAUCCAGAAAAAAAGAGAAAUCACCAAUAUUAGGAAUAAGUAUGUGAAUAUAUUACAGCUCCAACAAAUAUGAACAAGUGUAUACUAGUAAAUUCAACAACUUAGAAGGAAUGGGCAUAUUUUCUGAACAAUACAACUUACUAAACUGACACAAGAUGAAAUAAAAAUUCUUAACUAGUCCUAUAUAUAUAAAAGAAAUUGAAUUUGUUAUCAAAAUCUUCCCUCUGAACUCUGUUAAACAUUUAGGUAAGAAAAAAAUAACAAUCUUACAUAAAUGCUUUCAGAAACCCAGAAGGAAGAAAUACAUCCCAGUGCAUUUUAUGAGGUCAGCGUGAUCCUGAUACUAAACUUGACACAGACAUUUCAAAUAAAGAAAAUGAAAACACUGGUCAUGUUAAGUUGAUUUUCUUUCCCCAUCACUAACAGGAAGGCAGGAGGGCCUGAGGUUGCGGGUAGGGAGUGUGGGCUAGCUGACUGGUAGGGCUACAACAUCAAACUUGUAUGCAGUUCCCAACUGCACAUGGAAGAAAAUGAAGCCCAAUCUGGCCUUCAGGUUACUACAAGACCUUGAAAGAAGCCUGAGGUGGGUGAAGAAAUGUAGAAAAAUUAACUUACAAGAUAAGACACCUGAUUGGCUGAGUAAACAUUUCUUGUCAAACACUUUGAGAACUCUAUGAUUUAUAAAACUAGUACUUAUAGGAGAGUUUUUUACAAUUAUGCUAUGCCAGCAAUGGUUGAUUUUACUGGUCACCUGAACAAUCCACAUGGUGGACAUUGAAAAUAAAUAAGAAAAUUGAGUGAUAAUUAAAUCAGGACACAAAUAGAAAAAAUGAUGAAACUUCUGAACAGAAACAAACCAAUAAAGAAACAACAGCAAUACACAGAACUCCAAUGCAGAAGAAGAAAGUGAAGAACAAAAUGAAGGCAUUUCACCCCUAAACUUUGAAGAGAAUAAAAACAAAGAUUACUUAACAUUUUUAUUUGAAGUUUGGUUUUUACAAAAUACACCUUUGGAUGAAAAUGAGGCUGACCAAAUCUCAAAGGGUUUCUUUUCUCCUUUUAAUGUUUAAGCACUGCUGGAGUGCGCGGUACUUUCUCGUAAGGCAGUCUGAGAAAGUUCUUUGAAACACAUUAUUCAGUUUGAAAACACAACAGAAACAGGUGCUUGAGAUCUACAAGAGCUGCGUUGGGAAGAAACGGGGAAGUGAGAGAGUCACUUCUUUCCUACUGUUGCUAGUAUGGAGGACAUAGCUGAGAAAAAGCAAUCACCGGUAUUGGUGAGGCUCAUUGAUGAAUCUCAGGGCCAGAGAGAAGGAUGUGGGAUUUCUCCCUUCUGAAGCUGAUGCAGGAAGUUUGGCUGUGAAAUGUCACACUACAAUAACUGAGAAGUGGGAAAUGAACAAGGAAUUCUGGUGUGACCUGGCUUAGAUUAUGUCUAGCAGACUUCCUUUCAAAUGGCAAUCACGGUAACUAGAACUUUAGAGAAAUAACCCCAACAUAUCUAUACACCUUGCUCUUCCUCUGCCUUAAAUAUGUAGAAGUCAAAAUCAGUUUUCUGUUGCGGGAGGAUCACCUAUUGCUUUGGAAGAAAUUAAAGAUGUUAGUUCUUUUUUUCUGUUGAUCACAAGUGCUUUAGAGCUCAAUAAUAUAAUGUCUGUCCUCUUUCAGAACAACAAAGAAAAGGCAAAUGAACUGAAGGAAAUCUGCUAUUCACAAUGUACAGGCAUGCAUGAUGCUUUUGAAAUGUUUUUGCUAGCAAUUGUUUUGUGUUUAGAUGAUAUAAAGGAUGACACAAAUGUUAGAUGGAAUACCUUUAUAGCUGGUUGAGCUUUUGUUCUCUGUAGUGCAUUAACAUUUUGAUUUAAUUAUAAAUCAUUGUUGUUCAUAAAAGUGUCCUAUCUUCAGAAAGACCAUUUGGAAAAAAUCUCCAGGGCCACACCUCCGAUGUCUUCUUUGCAAUAGGUAGCUUGACUGCAGCUUUGCAUUACACAAAGAGAUUGAAGAUAUUUACGUUUAUUGUAAAUUUUGAUUUGAGGAAGCCACAGGGUUGACAACCAUACUUGAUGCUGAAAUGAAACAUGCUGGGAAAUUCCUCAAGGCUCAGCAAGAUAAUCUAGAAUCUAAAUUAACCACAGAGAAUUACUAUAAAGAAAUAGUGCUCCAACAAUGAGGCACAUUAUCCAGGACCUUAAAGAUAUUUUCUUAGAACAGUACCUCACAGUUCUUAAAUGUUCUUAAACAGUCAAAAGCAGUUCACUGGUGGCCUUGGUCAUAGAACAGCUUACACUGAACACCACGCCAAUAUGUACUCAGCUGACUUAUUCAAUCCUGAUACAUUCUCUGCCAACCUUCAUUGUUGGAGGUUAAGGCCAAAACGCAGACAAAAAGACAAAGAGCUUCCACCCACCACGUAUAAAACUCCCUAUUUAUCUCACGUAAAGUUUUUUUUUUUUCUUACUGUCUACAUGUUACCGAAGGUCCUGUGUAUUCUUCCUUUUGAUGAAGUUUGAGAAUGAGAGCUAUGAAAUUGGAUGAAAGCCAUAGAAACACUUCAACAGAUCAGAGCCAUAGCCCACUUUGUAGCCUGAGGACCAGAGAAAGGAAGUCUUUAAAGAGAAAGAAGAUAGGAGAAGAUGCAAAAAGGAGAAGCAAAGAUGUACAAACGGUACUUCCUGGAUUCUGUCAGCUGUCAGUUGCUGGUUUCACUUCCUUCCAGAACUCAGUUUCAUUCCCGCCUUUUGAUUCUGUGAAACCCCUCAAUCAUUAUAAUGAUUAAUAAUACCCAACUCCAGGUCGGGCACGGUGGGUCACGCCUGCAAUCCCAGCACUUUGGAAGGCCGAGGAGGGCGGAUCAUGAGGUCAGGAGUUCGAGACCAGCCUGGCCAACAUGGUGAAACCCCGUCUCUACUAAAAAUACAAAAUAUUGGCCAGGCAUGGUGGUGCACGCCUGUAGUUCCAGCUGCUUGGGAGGCUGAGGCAGGAGAAUCACUUGAACCCGGGAGGCGGAGGUUGCAGUGAGCCGAGAUUGUGCCACUGCACUCCGGCCUGGGUGACAGAGGAAGACUCUGUCUCAAAAAUAAUAAUAAUGAUAACCCAAAUCCCAAACUUUUUUUUUUUUUUUUUUUGGCCAAGUUGAAUUUCUGUUAAAAAGGCUCAAAUAAUACAAAAAUUAAUGUGGCUUGUGAGAGGUUUUCUUCUAUAAACAACCAACCAGCCUUAAUCAUGGUCCAUAUACUUUGUGCUUCACUCAUGGUGAUAGCCCCUCUUUUAUCUAUUCCCUCAAUCUGAGGGUACAUUUUAUUUUAUUUAUUUUUAAUAAUUUCAACUUUUAUUUCAGAUUCAGGGGGUAUCAAUGCAGGCUUGUUACAUGGGUAUAUUGCACGGUACUGAGGUUUGGGGUAUGGAUGAUUCCAUCACCAAGGUAGUGAGCAUAGUAUCCGAUAGGUAAUUUUUCAACCCAUGCUCCAUUCCCUCUUCCCUCUAGAGGUCUCCAGUGUGUACUAUUCCCAUCUUUAUGUCGAUGUGUACUCAAUGUUUAGCCCUCACUUAUAAGCGAGAACAUGUAGUAUUUGGUUUUCUGUUCCUGCCUUCACUUUCUUAAGAUAAUGGCCACCAGCUGCAGCCAUGCUGCUGCAAAGGACAUGAUUUUAUUAUUUUUUACAGCUACAUAAUAUUUCCUGGGAUAUAUGUGCCACAUUUUAUUUAUCCAGUCCACCAUCAAUGUGCAUCUAGGUUGAUUCUAUGUCUUCGCUGUUGUGAAUACUGCUGUGAUAAACAUAUGAGUGCAUGUGUCUGUUUUCCUUUGGGUAUAUAUCUGGUAAUGGAAUUGUUGGGUCAAAUGGUAGUUCUGUUUUAAGUUCUUUGAGAAAUCUCCAAACUGUCUUCCAUAGUGGCUGGACUAAUUUACAUUUCCAUCAACAGCGUGUAAGCAAUUACCUUUUCUCCGCAUCUCACCAGCGUCUGUUAUUUUUUGACUUUUUAAUGGUAGCCAUUCUGAAUGGUGUAAGAUGGUAUCUCACUGUGGUUUUGAUUUGCAUUGCUCUGAUAAUUAGUGAUGAUGAGCAUUUUUUCCUGUGUUUGUUGGCCACUUACAUGUCUUCUUCUGAUAAGUGUCUGUUUAUGUCCUUUGCCCAUUUUUUAAUGAGGUUACUUGUUUUAUUUCUUGUUGAGUUGUUUUAAGUUCCUUAUAGAUUCUGGAUAGGGUCCAUUUUAGCUGUAAACUUAUGGUGCUUCCUGUGCACUCACCAAAGUGCUGAACCUAGAACUACUUAGACCAUUUUUGCUCUCAUAAAAGUUCAGUGUCAAACUUUUAAUAUUUUCCUGACUAGAGAGAGUUGACUGUCAGAAAAUGAUUAAUGAUUAUGAUUUGACAUUCAGUGACUUCUUUAGGUUCUUUUUUUUUUUUUUUUUUUUUGAGAUGGAGUCUCAUUCUGUCUCCUAGGCUGGAGUGCAAUGGCGCAAGCUCAACUCACUGCAACCUCUGCCUCUCAGGUUCAAGCGAUUCUCCUGCCUCAGCCUCCCGAGUAGCUGGGACUACAGGCACCCACCACUACGCCUGGCUAAUUUUUGUAUUUUUAGUAGAGACAGGGUUUCACCAUGUUGGUCUGGCUGGUCUCAAACUUCCGACCUCAGGUGAUCCACCCGCCUCGGCCUCACAAAGUGCUGGGAUUAUAGGUGUGAGCCACUGUGCCCAGCCUUUCAGAUUCAUUUUCAAAAAGUUCUAAUUCCUUCAUGUAAUUCAUGGAAAAGAAAUCAGGUUUUGUUUGCCUUACUAUUAUUUACAAUAUAGACAAUAGUUUUAAUACUGUGGAAUGAAGCACUUGAGUAUUUUUUGUCUUUUAAAUGUCAAUGAGUUCUAUUUUCAGAAAUUUGGCAUGGGCUCAGCAUAAAUUUAUGUGACAUGUAUUUAGUGAUUAAGACAAAAAAAAUAACAUUCACUAACAUUGCUAAAUAAAAAUUUUCCAGUACUACCAAUAUAAUAUAUCUUGUUUAUUAUAGCUUUAAGGAUUUUUCUAGAAAACUGAAGAUAGCAGAGAAUUAACACAACUCUAAAAUAUCCUGAAAACUAAUUUUUGCUUAUAUGAUUGAGAAAAUUAUCUUCACAUUUCACGUUGCGGACUCUGCCUACCUUCAGUGAAAUAUUUUUGGCUUAGAAAACUAGUGUCUAGAACACAUUAGGUUUCAGAAAGUUUUUUGGCACUUCUGUAAGAAACUCCACUCAACUUAUUGUGAAAUUUUAUUAAGUAAAUUAAGUGAAAAUUCUUUAAUAAGUAUUCAAUACUGUGUUAGGUGGUAUAGGUAUUAAGGGAAAAAAGAUGAGUUGUGGCCUUUGCCCUCACUUGUCUGAUAAAAUAGUUGGGAAGAGACGUAAAGCAACAAUUAAUAAAACAGGACAGCUCAGAGUAAUGUGUAUGCUGAUUUUUAGAAGUUCUGAGAUGAGAGAGAGAAAGAUGGAGCAAAUAUAAACAUAGAAGCUAAGAACAGAGGACACAGAGAGAACAAGUUCAUCCUGCAUUUCUGACCACUUUUCUGUUAUUCUUUCCUUGAGGCUCCACUGAAGUGAAUGAAACCUGAAAUGGUAGAGAGAACUGCAAAGAAGAGGCUCAUAGGCGGAAGGGACUUGCCUUGUUUCAGAUGAGACUUUGGACUGUGGACUUUUGAGUUGAUGCUGAAAUGAGUGAAGACCUUGGGGAACUAUUGGGAAGACAUGAUUGAUUUUGAAAUGUGAGGACAUGAGAUUGGGCAGGGUCCAGGGGAGGAAUGAUAUAAUUUGACUCUGUAUGGUUUUAUCAAGGGUUUCCACUUUUGCGUCUUCCUCAUUCUCUUGUUGCCCGCUGCCAUGUAAGACGGGACUUGCUCCUCCUUGCCUUCCACCAUGAUUGUGAGGCUUCCCCAGUCACGUGG